GGCACGAUGGCAGAGUGGUUAUUGCGUAAGACUAGAAAUCUUAUUCCUUCGGGAGCGUAGGUUCAAGUCCUACUCGUGUCG
rnacentral:tRNA from 1 species